AACUUACGGUAAACAUAUAGAAGCAUGCUAGGCUUGACUGUUUUGUUGACUGUCUCUUUUUAUUUCCUAUGCAGCAAUUUUACUCUUUCACGGAACCACAAGGCCUGCUGGCUUCCAUUGUUUUUGUCUAGUCAAGGUAAGUCGCAUGGUUGCAAGCCAGACGGUGACUGUUUUGUUGACUGUCUCCUUUUAUUUCCUAUGCAGCAAUUUUACUCUUUCACGGAACCACAAGGCCUGCUGGCUUCCAUUGUUUUUGUCUAGUCAAGCAAUUUUACUCUUUCACGGAACCACAAGGCCUGCUGGCUUCCAUUGUUUUUGUCUAGUCAAGCAAUUUUACUCUUUCACGGAACCACAAGGCCUGCUGGCUUCCAUUGUUUUUGUCUAGUCAAGAGCAAACUUCUGUGGGCAGCCAGUGGUAUCCAAGAGGGAAGGGACCAGGAUUGCUGUGGUUACUGCAGCUGCGUCUUAUUUUAUGUGGUCACCUUUUCUACUGUAUUUAAAAAUUUUGUAAAACCAUUCUGCAUGUCCUUUAAUUUAUUAGUCAAUAA